GAUGAAGAACGUAGCGAAAUGCGAUAAGUAAUGUGAAUUGCAGAAUUCAGUGAAUCAUCGAAUCUUUGAACGCACCUUGCGCCCUUUGGCCAUUCUGAAGGGCAUGCCUGUUUGAGUAUCAUGAACACCUCAACUCUUCAUGGUUUUCCGUGAUGAGCUUGGACUUUGGGGGUCUUGCUGGCCUAUGGUCAGCUCCUCUAAAAUAAAUCAGCUUGCCAGUGUUUGGUGGGUAUCACAGGUGUGAUAACUAUCUACGCUUGUGGUUUUCCACCAGGUAACCUUCAGCAGUGGAGGUUCGCUGGAGCUCACAGAUGUGUCUCUCCUCAGUGAGGACAGCUCUUUGAAUGUUUGAUCUCAAAUCAGGUAGGACUACCCGCUGAACUUAAGCAUAUCAAUAAGCGGAGGA
rnacentral:misc_RNA from 1 species